CCAGAAGGACAACUAACAAAUGAAAAAAAUUCAAAUCACCUCAAGGGAGAGGAAGAAGUGACAGAACUGAAGGAGGAAAACGAAAAAUCUGAAUUGAGCCAAUUUCAUAAUGCUCUAAAUGAUGAGAAAGAGAAGCAUUGCAGAAAUAACUUCGUGGCCGACAACAGUGGUCUCCUUCAGCAGACGCAAGUCAGAGAGCUUCAGCAACAGGCACAGAAAGAUGUUCCAACAGAAGUGGAUGAAACCAGAGAUUUAUCCUCAGUGGGUAAAGAAAGGAAGAGACUUUGGACUGAUGUGUUCAGGAUUAGAAAGUGGAAAAUAUGGAGAAGGAAGAACAAUGUUUCCUAGCACUCUUCAACAGACAGUGAAUUAGUCGCUAAUAAAUCGCAGGUGUAACUUCUGUUCAAACAGGGUUGGCACAGAUACUUCCAAGACCAGUGGAUGUUUAAAUCUAUAGAAUGUUGUGAUCUGUGUUUGUAUAAUUUUAUAGUAAUAUCUCAGUGCAGCUUACUGCCGCCAUGAUCAGGGCGUUAAGUAAGCUGUGGAUGAAAAAUUGGGUUCAGAUGCGGGAAUUAGUUGAUCAGGUCAAGGCUGUUCUCAUGACCAGCAUUGAGGGACUUGAUGGUAUGGACGAAUUUUAAUGAAUUCUUCAAUGGUAGUGAGAUUUCCCCAACUGUCCUUCGAUCAAACUGGCUGGAUGUUGGUCCAAUGUAUAGGUUUGGGCCCUUAUGGUGCUUGUCAUUGGCCUAGGAACCACUGCUGAGCACACUGGAGGCCUUCAUCUUUCCAUUUUCUGUUAGACAUCAAAGAUGCUUCUUCCAGCAGAGAUCUGACAGCCUUCUUAACACUGCUGAGUAGAAGGCUGGCAAUUCACUUCUGGAAGAUUUGGCUGGGGAGGUCUGACAGAUAACUGAUGGCCAUUUCCACAGCUGUGCAGAGAAAAUGAGAAGGCCAGACUUCAUGGUGCAGCAUCCCAGCAACCAAUCAUCUUAGUGGUUCCCAACCUUUACCUAUUUGCAUUUGGAAUUCUGAAGAUCCACCAUUAAACACAGCAUUUACCUGCCCAAAGCAAAGGAUUCUACAUUGUCAAACCUGUUCCCAUAACUCAACCAUUUAGCAUCCUGUGGAUAGAGACAGUAAGCACCUACGAAACAUCAGUGAACUAAUGCCAGACUUCAUGGUGCAGCAUCCCAGCAACCAGUCAUCUAACUCAGUGGUUCCCAAUGUUUUCCUAUUUGCACGUAAGCAAAGAUGCAUGACAGUUUGUAACAACCACAACCAUCUCUACGUCAUAUUGUACAAAGCAAAUAAUGAUCAAAAUAAUAAAAUUAUUGUAAGC